rnacentral:rRNA from 1 species
UGGUGGAUUGAUUUGUCUGGUUUAUUCCGUUAACGAACGAGACCACAGCCUACUAAAUAGAUGCGUUUAUGGCGACAUAGGCGCAGUGCUUCUUAGAGGGACAUUUCGGGUUUACCGGAAGGAAGUUUGUGGCAAUAACA